CGUUACAUCAUUGCCUGUGAGAGUGAAGUUCUGGAGAGGCACUGGGCUCUCUGGGCCAGCCAUUAUGCUAAGCAAAGCUGUCAACAGAGGCAGAGAAGCAGCUUUAAGUGGGAGACAGAAAAUGGAUGGAGGAAGAACAGGAGCGGGACAUGAAGAAGAGAAGGAAGGAAAGAACAUAGAAGUCAUUUAUGGAUGAUUUGCUGACUGAUGUGGUGGCUCAUGUCGAGAUCUGGUUUCUCUUGGGUGAAGUGCAGCAGAGAGGGGAGAGAGAGUGAGUAAGCCUUCCAACCCCAUAAGACUGGACUCUAUCAGCCAUGCAGAGUCAGUGAUGGAACCACAAGCCUUGGUAACCACACUCACAAAUGCUUAUGUC
ensembl:lncRNA